AAAAGUCAUAUCAUUGUCACGGACGGUCGUGAGACACCAAAUCCUGCAGGAAAGACAACGAGACAGAGGAAUAGAUCAAGCCUCAAUCAGGAUGCGGUGAUAUAAAAGCUUGAUCUCUGCAUGUAGGGAACGAUGCAGCGGCACUUUAGUGGGUCCACCUUUCUCAUUCCCUAGUGCUUAUACACUAUCCACGUUCUCACCAUCAUCUCAGACACUUUUUGUUGUUUGUUGUUACGAACAACAAUACAAUAGGAUCAUGUAAAAUACCAGUGCAACUGCACCUGGGAUGUCCUCCGUGUGACGUCACCGAGCGACACAACCGCUCACUUCUCAUAGGAAUAACCAACAUUUCGGCCCAACCAACGAAUUAUCACCUGAAUAGCCUAAACAAUGGAAAUCUACUUCAGUGAUACCGUGAUGCUGAAGAUCAGUUAGAAGGUACACCUGUAUUUCCCAUAAAGUAAAAUAAAAAAAAUAAAAGUGGUGGACGAUGCAGAUGCAGAUGCCUAAAUCCGUCACUGCCAAGAAAACCAGUUUAAAACAGAGCGCACGCUCUAACCUGAUUGGUUGCUUGCUGCGUGCUUGACCGACUUGGAAAACAAUGAAGAUGAGCAUGCUGCUGAUGAGGAGCGCUAGAAGAAGCAGGAGAGAGAUCCAGGCUCCGGGAUGCAGGGCUCGUCUCAAAUGUACACUCUCUUCGGG